CCUCUACCAACCUAUGGCUCCCCAACUAUUCAUACAACUAAUCCCCCUGCUGUGCAAGUCCAUAGCAAUCGUUUCCUGCUGCCUGUUGUUGGUCAGUCUAAGCCACUCUGUUUCGACGUUCCUCUUCCUCACAAACUCAGACUCCUGCAGGAUUCAGCUUCAGGUUAGACAUUAAGAGAUGUCUGUUCUACAUCUGCAUAUAUUUAA